ensembl:lncRNA LINC00841 long intergenic non-protein coding RNA 841
UUCUGUCAUGAGACAGGUGAUAACACGGACCUAGCUCCAUUCUUAGUGAAGGAAAAUUACCUUUCUAUUUUUCCCAUCAAUAUACACCACAACAAACAGAAGACACUAAAGUAAAAGAACCAUCAACACAAGUGACAUGUCAUAGCAGGAGCUGACACAGCCUCACCAGCCCAUGCUCGGCCAGACUAGGGAGCAUCGGCCGCUUGUUCCAUCCUGUGCUUGUCUGCCUGCCUCUCUGUCAUGAGACGCAUUCGAAGAGUCCUGGGCCCAAAAGCAACUCACAGUCCAGGAAGACGUCCAGGCCUUGGGUGACGCUCAGUCUCAGUAAAUGGCCCUGGCUGGCAGGUGGUGGUGGGAGGGACCCAGGUUGGUCCCUGUGGCUGCCUUUGUGCUCCCUAAAUCCCCUUGUCUAGGGUCAGCCUAGGGUCUGGCAUGGGGCAGAGACAGGAGUGCCCUCAUCUGCCAGGGAAAUGCUCACUGGGGGAGGGAGCAGCCGGCCCCCCAGGCCACACUCCAUGCCCCACCCUCUAAGCUGCAGAGUGCAUGUACAUCAAUGGAACACAGAGGGAGGGUCCCAGGCUCCUGUCCACACUAAAAUGCCCCUGGACCCCAACCCUUAACAGACGAGAUCCUGUCUCAUUAGAAAGCACAUGUGACUUCUCUAGCAGCUCAUUCCCACUUCCUUUGUCUUCAGUAAAGACGGAGAAUGGUGGCCUCCUCCACAGGAAUGGUGCUCAUCAUUAGCCAUGACAAGCUUCAAUGUUCAAAAUGCCUUUGCAAAAGAAAUACUGGACAAAUUACACAGGGUUUCCAGCCACA